CACUGACUCAGUGUCUCAGAUCGGACUUCUUUCAUGAAUUUUUACAGCCUCCUGCAGAGUAAAUAGAUAGGGAUACAUAGUGAGGCAGAAAUAAACAGCGGACUAACAGCCUACAUUCGCUACAGAUGAACGGAUACUAGAGUUGUUUGUCUUACAGUGUCCACCAUAGCAAGAAUUAUACCCUUGAAUGGGAUGGAUUAAAAAACAUAAUUCUGCAAAUUUGACCGCAAUCGGCAAUCUACUGACAUCUAGUGGUGAGCUUUUAUAAAGUGUAACUUUAAAGCAGACUACGUUAACUUUAAUUCAGAAAAUGAAUUAAUUAAUGCAUUUCUUAAGUUAUAUACACUACACAAGUUUGACUGUGAUGCACAGCAUGCCUGUGUGAAUGCGUGCUUGCAUAUGGUGUAUAUAUGUGGGUGGCUCUGCAUGUGUCAUUAGUGUGUUUUAGUAUACCACCGAAUGCCAUUUUUUGUGUGUCGCUGUCUGUAGGAUCUGAUUGACCUCACAUCCCUGUCAACAAAAUGUAGAGCCAGGCCUGCGAGUUCCAUAAAAAAAGAAAGAAAAAAAAAAACUUUACUCACUUCUUUGUAUCAAAGGCAGCUGCGUUGCAGACAACAAAUUGGCUCUUCAUGUCUCCCUCUCCAAAUGCUAAGGUUAGGCUUUAAUUGUGGCACCUGGGUCGGAAAGCAGCAGAGUUAUAGACAAAAUAGCGAUGCUCAUGUCAGUGGACGUGUUGUGAAUAGUUCACAUAAUACCAGUGUAUACACAGUGGACACGGAGCCAGCCACCUUUGCUCCUCUCCCCUGUUCUCGCUGAAUAAGAAUCUGACAUAAAUUCUGCACAUAUAAAAUUAGUAAAUGCCACUGUAGCCGUAGUUAAAUAUCACACAAACCCCCGGGGAGGGGGGCAGGGGGAGGCGCCGACAAGUUACCUUGGCCUAUUUUUUUGUGGCGAAGACAGGGGGAGGGGAAGGGCCUUUGACUAGCAAAAGAGAUGGUGGGAGGUUAGAGAGAAGGAACGGGGAGAAGGGAAAGGAAAAAG
ensembl:lncRNA